rnacentral:misc_RNA from 1 species
AAGUCGUAACAAGGUUUCCGUAGGUGAACCUGCGGAAGGAUCAUUCAUAAAUAUCGAAUUUAUGUAUUUGUGCACUGGUGAUUUUUUUCUUAUUCUGUUGUUUUUUUUUAAAAGCAAUACAACUUUCAGCAAUGGAUCUCUUGGCUCUU